CGUAACAAGGUCUCCGUAGGUGAACCUGCGGAGGGAUCAUUACACAAUGAAUAUGCAGGCCUUUUUCGUGGGGGGAGCUUGCUCUCUCGCGGGGAGGCUGAAUUAUUUUCUACCCAUGUCCUUGCGCACUUGUUGUUUCCUGGGCGAGUUCGCUCGCCUCCAGGACCCCAUCAUAAACCUUUUUAUUGCAGUAGUAAUCAGCGUCAGUAUCUUUUAAUGUAUUACAACUUUCAACAACGGAUCUCUUGGUUCUGGCAUCGAUGAAGAACGCAGCGAAAUGCGAUACGUAGUGUGAAUUGCAGAAUUCCGUGAAUCAUCGAAUCUUUGAACGCACAUUGCGCCCUUUGGUAUUCCAAAGGGCAUGCCUGUUCGAGCGUCAUUUGUACCCUCAAGCUUUGCUUGGUGUUGGGUGUUUGUCUCUUUUUGAGACUCGCCUUAAAACGAUUGGCAGCCGGCCUACUGGUUUCGGAGCGCAGCACAUCUUUUUUGCGCUUUGCAGUCAGCCAAGGGCGGCGUCCAGCAAGUCGAAUUUUCCACAUUUUGACCUCGGAUCAGGUAGGGAUACCCGCUGAACUUAAGCAUAUCA
rnacentral:rRNA from 1 species